rnacentral:tRNA from 1 species
GGGCGGUUAGCUCAGUUGGUUUAGAGCGCCUGCCUUACAAGCAGGAGGCCGGGGGUUCGAAUCCCUCACCGCCCA